UGAGCUGUCACUCAGCUCCUCCCACACCCAGAACCCUUCCUUCCCCAGCUGUUGGGGAGCAGAGUCCAGCUCCUCCACUGGAGUGUCUGGCUCCCCAGGGCUCAGCCUCUGACUCAGCCCACAGCUGCCCUUCUGGGGAAUUGCUCCCCACCCACAGCACAGCAGGCCAGGGCUUUCCUCCUGCAGAGGACCCCCUGGACAGCACACACAGCCCAGGAAGAAGAGAGGGGGCAACUGGCUGUCAGCAUUGCCUCUGUGUAACUGCAGUGACCUCUUCAUGGCAUCAGAGAUGUGGCCUCCCAGUGCAGUGGAGUCUUGGCCCGGGCACCUGCUGGGAACCAGGGCCUUGUAAUAUAUGUUCUCAAAGUCCUGAUGGGAGGUUCAGCUGUUGCCCUAGCUAUGAUUGGUAAAGGGAUAAUUUCUGCUUCAGGAGCUGGAGCUAACACUGACCUCAAUAUGACCAUGAAAGACACAAGAGGUCUCCUCCAAAGGCCCAUAAACAGAGCUAAGGGUUCUACAAGCAGCUUUCACUGGAGCUACAGGGGUUCUACUUGUCCAGGUUCCUGUCCCACUGCUGGCCUCCUGGACCUCCAGCCUCAGCUCAGCCUGGGCAGUCCUGCUGCUCCUCUCCCAAAGAGAAGAUGGAGACUGAGACCAACAGCUAGGUCCCCCCUGGCCCUGUGCUGUGUGUGUGGCUCCCACUAACCACCUUGUGUGUUUCCCUGCCUUGAGCCCUGGAGAUACAAAUAUAUGUAGCUAAUCACCUCUUUUCAGUCACUCAUUCAUUUAACAAAUUAUACAUUUGAUACAUACAUAUGAAGCAUUUGUUCAUCAUGUUAGGUCUUCCACCAUGGCAGGACAUGGGGAAUGUUGUAAACAUGACUUUGUCCUAGACCUCUAGGACCUUUCAGGCUCCCAAGAGCUUCAGCAGAUGUAUUCACUGGGUUUUCCUCAUAGGCUAUUUAUGCAGAAAAGAGAGGUUUAUGCCUCUCAGUUUGGGGAGUUCAAAGCUAUGGCACCUCCAUUGGCUAAUAUAGUGUAAAAACUACAAUGAAAGCAUGGGUUGCAGUUAAGGGCAAGGGGAGGGCUGGGAAGGAAAAUAAAGCACGUUAUUACAUGCAUGAAUACAAGGAAAAAACCUCAAUAUUCCCUAUCAUGAAUAUGCACUAAUAAAUUUGUUGGCAGAGUUUCAGAUUCCAUGCUGCAAAUAUAAAGAAAUGAACCCUGGAAUCUGUGCGUUGAGCUUCUCAGUAAAGAUGAGGGGCCGUUUGGGCAGUGGUGAGUGGUGAUUUCAGUUGUCUGAACUGGGGAGACAGGGCGGUGCCCCUGAGCCUCAAUGUGCACCUGUUAGGCGUUUGCCAGGACACUGCUGGACCUGUAUGGUGUGAUGUUCUGGAGUGUAGGUAACCACGGCAGCACCCACAGGUGGCACCUGGAUAGUUCUGUUCACAGACACAGAUGGAAGCCUUGCAGUUUUGGGGCUCUCCUGGGGAGCCAGUGUGGACAGGGGCAGUUUAGGUCCAGGUGGGGGCUGUGUUUGCAUGACAGUGUGAAUUUGAAGUAGAAAACUGUACAUUUGAAAAUGGUUGGGAUGGUUGUGCUUAUUUUAUUACAAUGAAAUAUAAUAAACAAUUUACUAUUUUUUUAAAAGAACACCCAGGUCUAGGAAGCAUCACCAAGUUUUAAAACCCCCAGGUGCCCCCUCUCCCUGUUCCUACAGGAGGCUACAACCCCCACUGUGAUACUGAUUACUACCUUGUCUCUAUAUUCCAGUCACAUAUCUGCAUAUCAGUGCUCCUAAACAAAAGGGAAGAGUUAUCAGGGUUACUCAGGCUCCAAGUUCAUCCUGGGUCCUGGUGGCCCUGGCAGGGCACAGGCUCCUGGGUGGGGCACCUUGCCCACACUGCUGCAGUCUUGAACAGCAUGGAAGAUAGACCUGGGAGAGAAGUGCGUACAUCUGUGUGAGGUCACACGGGCUGUGUAUAGAGCAAACAGGAAAUUCUGGCAGGUGAGACGAUCACAAGUUCUAGGCCCACCUGGAUGACCCAUGGAAGAAGAGCGAGGUGGGGGAAAGGUGUAUAACUCAUGGUGGCCAGGAAGCUGACUGAGGGCAAGGUGCCGGAGAGGAAGGGGACAGGGACCAGACCUGCCUGUACCUGAGGCCUCUGUAACUCACCCAGAAGUGUGCUCCACCAGUCUCCAGGGUGGGUCCUAAAGCCAAUCAAGCUGACACAGUGGGGUUUAACUGUCACACGGACAUAGAUAUUCUCACCCCACUAACAGAUGAGGAAAUGGACUCUGAGGGAGCCCUUCUCAGAAACACACUCACUGCUCAGUGGACAAGAGACUGACUCCCAGCCUCCUGACACACAGCCCAGCACUUUCUCCUAUCGCAGGGUGCUUGCCCACAGUUUCUCUUCUCCCUGAAUGGCUCCAACCCCAUUGAUGAGCCCCAGGCAGGAAAAGGCAAAGACAGCACUUUGCUGAUUGGCGGCAGCCUGUGCUGGGCCUCCUUCCUGGGAGAGCAUGGGGUAGGGAUCCUGGGGAGAUGUACUUCCCUCCAUAAGCAGGAGAACCUAGAGUGUUUUAUAAUAAAAAGAAAAAUGAACAAAGGUCCCAUUUAAGAAUCUAUUGCCCUUCUCUCUUUCACUCAUCUUUUACUGGCCAUAAGUGUAUAGUGUUAAUUAAUAGGACAAAGGUAUUUAGAGUAGCUUAGAAUGUUAAAGAAAAUAUCAUUAUAGCUUUCAUAAGGAAAUGCACUAAAUGAUACCCCCGAGGGAAAAUUCUGA